rnacentral:rRNA from 1 species
GACGAACGCUGGCGGCGUGCUUAACACAUGCAAGUCGAACGGAAAGGCCCUGCUUUUGUGGGGUGCUCGCGUGGCGAACGGGUGAGUAACACGUGAGUAACCUGCCCUUGACUUUGGGAUAACUUCAGGAAACUGGGGCUAAUACCGGAUAGGAGCUCCUGCUGCAUGGUGGGGGUUGGAACGUUUCGGCGGUUGGGGAUGGACUCGCGGCUUAUCAGCUUGUUGGUGGGGUAGUGGCUUACCAAGGCUUUGACGGGUAGCCGGCCUGGGAGGGUGACCGGCCACAUUGGGACUGAGAUACGGCCCAGACGCCUACGGGAGGCAGCAGUGGGGAAUAUUGCACAAUGGGCGGAAGCCUGAUGCAGCAACGCCGCGUGCGGGAUGACGGCCUUCGGGUUGUAAACCGCUUUCGCCUGUGACGAAGCGUGAGUGACGGUAAUGGGUAAAGAAGCACCGGCUAACUACGUG